UAAUACGUAGGGUGCGAGCGUUAAUCGGAAUUACUGGGCGUAAAGCGUGCGCAGGCGGGCUUUUAAGCCAGACGUGAAAUCCCCGGGCUUAACCUGGGAAUGGCGUUUGGGACUGGGAGUCUGGAGUGCGGCAGAGGAGACUGGAAUUCCUGGUGUAGCAGUGAAAUGCGUAGAUAUCAGGAGGAACACCGAUGGCGAAGGCAGGUCUCUGGGCUGACACUGACGCUCAUGCACGAAAGCGUGGGGAGCAAACAGGAUUAGAUACCCUGGUAGUCCACGCCCUAAACGAUGUCGACUGGUUGUUGGGGGUUUGACACUCUCAGUAACGAAGCUAACGCGUGAAGUCGACCGCCUGGGGAGUACGGCCGCAAGGUUA
rnacentral:rRNA from 1 species